rnacentral:rRNA from 1 species
UCCUGGGUUCACACCCCAGUGGAGCCAUGGUCCAUGACGCUGGAAGCUAAGCAAGGUUGGGCCUGGUUAGUACUUGGAUGGGAGACCACCUAGGAAGACCAGGUGCUGUAGGCA